UACGUAGGGUCCGAGCGUUGUCCGGAAUUACUGGGCGUAAAGAGCUCGUAGGUGGUUUGUCGCGUUGUUCGUGAAAACUCACAGCUUAACUGUGGGCGUGCGGGCGAUACGGGCAGACUUGAGUACUGCAGAGGAGACUGGAAUUCCUGGUGUAGCGGUGGAAUGCGCAGAUAUCAGGGGGAAUACCGGUGGCGAAGGCGGCAGUCCUGGACCAUAACUGACGCUGAGGCGCGAAAGCUAGGGGAGCAAACGGG
rnacentral:rRNA from 1 species